UUAUAUUAGAAUAACUGUUAUGCCCGGGUCACACGAGGCUAGUUUUUCAAGCUAGGAUAGCAAGCUAGUGUUAGUAAGCUAACAAGCUAGUGCUUCUGGCUUCGUGUAGACAAAACAAUCUUCAUUUGUAAGCUAGUAAGCUAGUUUACAAGCCAGGACAGUUUUCAAUAGGAUGGAGUUCUAUUUUCAGGCUAGUAGCGUCCCCCCACCACUGAUUUUACUAUCUUGGCUUGUUUACUAGCUUCAUGUGACCGGCGAAGCUAGUUUUCAGUUGGCUAGUAAACAGGAACCAUACGUUUGUCAAAAGACU